UACAGAGGUCCCAAGCGUUGUUCGGAUUCAUUGGGCGUAAAGGGUGCGUAGGCGGCGCGGUAAGUCGGGUGUGAAAUCUCGGGGCUUAACUCCGAAACUGCAUUCGAUACUGCGGUGCUUGAGGACUGGAGAGGAGACUGGAAUUUACGGUGUAGCAGUGAAAUGCGUAGAGAUCGUAAGGAAGACCAGUGGCGAAAGGCGGGUCUCUGGAAAGUUCCUGACACUGAGGCACGAAGGCCAGGGGAGCAAACGGG
rnacentral:rRNA from 1 species